UACGUAGGGUGCAAGCGUUGUCCGGAAUUAUUGGGCGUAAAGAGCUCGUAGGCGGUCUGUCGCGUCGGUCGUGAAAACUUGGGGCUUAACCCUGAGCUUGCGGUCGAUACGGGCAUGACUGGAGUUCGGCAGGGGAGACUGGAAUUCCUGGUGUAGCGGUGAAAUGCGUAGAUAUCAAGAGGAACACCAGUGGCGAAGGCGAGUCCCUGGACAACACCUGACACUGAGGCACGAAAGCUAGGGGAGCAAACAGG
rnacentral:rRNA from 1 species